AUUUGCUCUACGAUCCAAGAUGUUGACUUAAAGUUAUACAGAAUUAUGAGUAAAAUGAUAUUAAGUUACAUUACUUUUCUAUGCUUUAUGAGAACGAAGAAGCAGGAACACUGCAAAAAUAAUCCGAGCCACCAAAGACUUUUGAAGCAAUCUUUUUGUCACUUGCCAUAACUGGGAAGGUUAUACGUAAAAAGACAAUGUGUUCCCAGCAUACCAGGCAGACAAAUUGGAUACAGAACAAACUGAUAGUUCCAUUAAUAUUCUAAGAUUGCCAUCCUUUCAGUAGAAGGAGAUACUGUACAGGAGCUUCCGUCUGUGCUGUUUCUCAAAAUUAUUGAUGAUAUCAUCAAUUGCAUCCUCCCAAUUUUCAGUCGCAUCAAGUUCCUGACACAAUAUCAAAGCAAGACGGCCUCCAAUUGCUGCCUCCUCAUGGUUAUCUUUUACUUCUAAAUUGAUAACAAGAACCGGCUUCAAGAGAACUUGGUUUCUGUUAUGAAGAUCUUCAAGCACCAAAUCAAAGACUUUUUCUUCAAAUGUAAUUACAACAUCGAAGGGACCAUCAGCAGCAUUAUCCUGCCAACGUUGAGGUGCAAGCUUUACACCCAAGUUCCUUUUCAGCAUAGGCAGUAUUCCAUUUCGUUUGUACAGUUCGACGUCUUUGCGGCGGAGGUCAUCGAACAUCUGCUUAUAAGGAGUGCCGAAGUCGUAAACAUUUGGUUCCCUAAUAGAAGGACCAGGAAGCUUUACAUGUUGCCCAGUGCCAUAUGAGGCCACAUCAAAUCCCUCCCUUUUCAGUAGACAAUGUGACUCCAUGCUCCGAUUCUGAUUCGACGAGCACACCAUUGCAUACCGGAGCUUCAUAACUGAUUCCGGCAGUGCUACUCUUGUAUUCCAGAUGAGACGAAUUCGUCGAUAGCUACACGUUCUGGAAUUUGCGCCGGCGUCCAGUAGAAGAGGAGAACUUCAAUUCUUGAGCAGAGAUUUUAGUAGGAGUAGUAAACGUGUUUUUGGUGA
rnacentral:misc_RNA from 1 species